rnacentral:rRNA from 1 species
AUUGAACGCUGGCGGCAGGCCUAACACAUGCAAGUCGAGCGGAAGAAGGGAGCUUGCUCCUGGAUUCAGCGGCGGACGGGUGAGUAAUGCCUAGGAAUCUGCCUGGUAGUGGGGGAUAACGUCCGGAAACGGGCGCUAAUACCGCAUACGUCCUGAGGGAGAAAGUGGGGGAUCUUCGGACCUCACGCUAUCAGAUGAGCCUAGGUCGGAUUAGCUAGUUGGUGGGGUAAAGGCCUACCAAGGCGACGAUCCGUAACUGGUCUGAGGGGAUGAUCAGUCACACUGGAACUGAGACACGGUCCAGACUCCUACGGGAGGCAGCAGUGGGGAAUAUUGGACAAUGGGCGAAAGCCUGAUCCAGCCAUGCCGCGUGUGUGAAGAAGGUCUUCGGAUUGUAAAGCACUUUAAGUUGGGAGGAAGGGCAGUAAGUUAAUACCUUGCUGUUUUGACGUUACCAACAGAAUAAGCACCGGCUAACUUCGUG